rnacentral:rRNA from 1 species
ACUCCUGCGGGAGGCAGCAGUGGGGAAUAUUGCACAAUGGGCGCAAGCCUGAUGCAGCCAUGCCGCGUGUAUGAAGAAGGCCUUCGGGUUGUAAAGUACUUUCAGCGGGGAGGAAGGCAAUACGGUUAAUAACCGUGUUGAUUGACGUUACCCGCAGAAGAAGCACCGGCUAACUCCGUGCCAGCAGCCGCGGUAAUACGGAGGGUGCAAGCGUUAAUCGGAAUUACUGGGCGUAAAGCGCACGCAGGCGGUCUGUCAAGUCGGAUGUGAAAUCCCCGGGCUCAACCUGGGAACUGCAUUCGAAACUGGCAGGCUUGAGUCUUGUAGAGGGGGGUAGAAUUCCAGGUGUAGCGGUGAAAUGCGUAGAGAUCUGGAGGAAUACCGGUGGCGAAGGCGGCCCCCUGGACAAAGACUGACGCUCAGGUGCGAAAGCGUGGGGAGCAAACAGGAUUAGAAACCCGAGUAGUCCCAUG